rnacentral:lncRNA from 1 species
GAUGGAGUUGGGAGAGCACAGAGCUCAUAGGGCUUGCUGUGGUAUAGGAGUAGGACUGGGAGGCAUGAGGAGUAUAUAUAAGUUAAGUUUCCUUUGUAUCUAACCUGCACCGGAACUCGCUGCGAUGUACAUGCCACCAUGGGUCUCUUCCCAUCCAUGGGAGGCAGCGGGAGUCUAUGCUCUUGCAGAGCACUGCAGGAUUGUGCUUCCUAUGAACUGAGUGGCAUUGGUCACAGCAACGCUUAUUGUGCUUCUGAAGUACUACGGGAUUGUGCAAACACGAGGGAUCCAUCAGCGGACUUACUGUGACCUUACAGAUCAUACCAACCUCUUGCGAGUAUUUUUUUUUAUUCGCUUGUUAGUGAAUACAGU